rnacentral:rRNA from 1 species
GAUGAACGCUGGCGGCGUGCCUAAUACAUGCAAGUCGAGCGAACAGACGAGGAGCUUGCUCCUCUGACGUUAGCGGCGGACGGGUGAGUAACACGUGGAUAACCUACCUAUAAGACUGGGAUAAAUUCGGGAAACCGGAGCUAAUACCGGAUAAUAUAUUGAACCGCAUGGUUCAAUAGUGAAAGACGGUUUUGCUGUCACUUAUAGAUGGAUCCGCGCCGCAUUAGCUAGUUGGUAAGGUAACGGCUUACCAAGGCAACGAUGCGUAGCCGACGUGAGAGGGUGAUCGGCCACACUAGAACUGAGACACGGUCCAGACUCCUACGGGAGGCAGCAGUAGGGAAUCUUCCGCAAUGGGCGAAAGCCUGACGGAGCAACGCCGCGUGAGUGAUGAAGGUCUUCGGAUCGUAAAACUCUGUUAUUAGGGAAGAACAAAUGUGUAAGUAACUAUGCACGUCUUGACGGUACCUAAUCAGAAAGCCACGGCUAACUACGUG